UCCGGUUUGUCACCGGCAGUCUCCCUAGAGUCCCCACCAUUACGUGCUGGCAACUAAGGACAAGGGUUGCGCUCGUUACGGGACUUAACCCAACAUCUCACGACACGAGCUGACGACAGCCAUGCAGCACCUGUCACUGGGUUCCCGAAGGCACAGUCCUGUCUCCAGGACCUUCCCAGGAUGUCAAGGGCAGGUAAGGUGGGGAUGACGUUUGCGUAACAGAA
rnacentral:misc_RNA from 1 species